UUAGCUCAGCUGGAUAGAGCAACUGCCUUCUAAGCAGUAGGUCACAGGUUCGAAUCCUGUA
rnacentral:tRNA from 1 species